UGAGUUCUCGCGUCUCACUCUCUUUAGUGAAGUGGAGACAAACACUCUCUUGACGUCAAGACAGCCUGGAGAUAUUAAAGUCUGCUCUGCCACUUGUGUGUUAGAGAGCGAAAGCAGAGACCCGGCGAGGAGGAUUACAGUGCAGCUGCCCGCUCUCUUCGAACUUUGAUGGACUCCGGAUCCUAGAGGAGCGAGGAUUCACCGCUGGAAGAAUGAGGAGUCAGGCGAUGUCUUUGCUAUUGGUCCUCAGUUUUUACAGCAUGUGUUCAACGUCUUCAGUGCAAACGGAAAUAAUACCAUCAGAAGGCAAACUUCUGGAUCAUCUUUACAGCUUAAAGCGAGGCAGUCAUCUAAUAAAUCAAUCGCAUCAGCUUGACUGUUGAAUUUUAAAACACUGACUACUGAGUUGUUUCAGGACAACCAAGAUUAUGGUGACUAUGAAGAUUCAAAAUAUGAGAAAGAGAAACAAAUGAAACGAAGAUACCCAUACAUUUUGAAAAGACAAGCACGUGUUGGAAAAACUCGUCGACCUUAUGUACUGAAACGAAAUUCUGUUUUCUUUAUGAAUUAAAAUCUUAUCUUACGUCUGACUUUUCAAGUAAACAUGGAUUAGCAUGUAUAUCAUAUAUUUAAUGAAUUUAAUCUAUUUAUGCAGAGACAAUUGAAAAUCCAGAAAAAAUAUAUAUAUUUGGCUUAUAGCUUAGUUUCUUCUGUGUUUCAAAAUAAUUUACUGUAUGUUUCAAUGGUGUGUGUUGUCCAAACCUGUUUUCAGUUUGAGAGGUUGCUAGAACUUUCCAUGUUUUGCUUCUUAGCAAGAAUUGUGCAUUCUUGAUCUGGAGGUUUUUUCUAUCAAUGUGUAAAAACAUGCAGGACACAGAGAGGGUGAAGGCGUACUUUUCUCAACAUGAAUUUACAGCAUCACGUGGUUGGAUAUUGAUGAAUUUAAUGUAAUCUUAUUGACUCAGUAAUGUACAGGGCAAAUAAACCCUGAGUAGAUUGCAUGAUCAUAGAUACGAAUGUCUGAGAUGAAUGUUCAAACACUCUGCAUGAAAUCACUCUCAGUUUAUGGACAGUAUCUUUUGUGCUUUUCUUACUCUUUUCAAAUAUUUGCUAACAUCAAACUGUACACAAUAAUUUCACUAAAAUCUAUGUCAUAUACUUGAUAUUAAAUGUCAAAUAAACUACAAUUGAA